rnacentral:rRNA from 1 species
AUUGAACGCUGGCGGCAGGCCUAACACAUGCAAGUCGAGCGCGCGGCGGACGGGUGAGUAAUGUCUGGGGACUGCCCGAUAGAGAGGGAUAACUCCUGGAAACGUUGUCUAAUACCGCCUACAGUCGGAUACCCCAUAGGUGAUUAGCUAGUAGCUAAGGUAAUGGCUUACCUAGGCGACGAUCCCUAGCUGGGCUGAGAGGAUGAUCAGCCACACUGGGACUGAGACACGGGCCAGACGCCUACGGAGGCAGCAGUGGGGAAGAUUGCACAAUGGGCGCAAGCCUGAGGCAGCCAUGCCGCGUGUGUGAAGAAGGCCCUAGGGUUGUAAAGGACUUUCAGUCGGGAGGCGUUACCGACAGAAGAAGCACCGGCUAACUCCGUGCCAGCAGCCGCGGUAAUUC